GAGUCAAGGCCAAGAGGCGACUCGCUUGAGAUACAGAGACUAGAAGAGCAGCAGACUGAGCUGCUAAGGAUUGAGGAUCUUCCUGCUUUGAAGCUAUCGGGUAUAAUUUAUACCCUAAUUGUAAAUAUUUUUUUUGAUGUAUGUAUUGCAUAUAAAUGUAUGGAUAUAUAAAUGGGUCUUGAGCAGCUUGUACAAAAAAAUUUGUAUGAAGUUUGUAAUAAAGUUUAGUUUGUGUUUCUUUUGAUAUAAAUUUGUAAGGAUGUGUAUAAAUUGUUUUGUCUUUAAUGAAAUAUGAGUGGAACUAUUUUAUUUAAUUUGAAUGAAAUGUAUUGCUAGUAUUUUGAGGAUUAUUGAAUUUUGAACUUGAGAAAUUGAUUGAAAUGGAUUGAGUUUGAUUGUGAAA